GCCCCCGUAGUUCAAACGGACAGAACGCAGACCUCCUAAGUCUGUUAUCCCAGUUCGAGUCUGGGCGGGGGUA
rnacentral:tRNA from 1 species